rnacentral:rRNA from 1 species
GAUGAACGCUGGCGGCGUGCCUAAUACAUGCAAGUCGAGCGAAGCGGGGACGGGUGAGUACCACGUGGAUAACCUCCUAUAAGACUGGGAUAACUUCGGGAACCCGAAGCUAAACCGGAUCCUUCUAGAUGGUUCCGCGCUGCAUUAGCUAGUUGGUACGGUAACGGCUUACCAAGGCAACGAUGCAUAGCCGAACUGAGAGGAUGAUCGGCCACACGGGAACGGAGACACGGUCCCGACUCCUACGGGAGGCAGCAGUAGGGAAGCUUCCGCAAGGGGCGAAAGCCUGACGGAGCAACGCCGCGUGAGUGAUGAAGGUCUUCGGAUCGUAAAGCUCGGGAAUUAGGGAAGCGGUACCUAAUCAGAAAGCAACGGCUAACUACGUGCCAGCAGCCGCGGUAAUUC